CCUACGGGCGGCAGCAGUAGGGGAUCUUUCACAAUGGGCGAAAGCCUGAUGGAGCAACGCCGCGUGCAGGAUGAAGGCCUUCGGGUUGUAAACUGCUUUUAUAAGCGAGAAAUAUGAUGGUAACUUAUGAAUAAAGAUCGGCUAACUACGUGCCAGCAGCCGCGGUCAUACGUAGGAUCCGAGCAUUAUCCGGAGUGACUGGGUGUAAAGAUGUGCGUAGGUGGCAUAAUAAGUAGCUAGGGAAAUCUGGUGGCUCAACCAUUCAGACUAUUAGCUAAACUGUUAAGCUCGAGACCGUUAGGGGUAACUGGAAUUUGUAGUGUAGGAGUGAAAUCCGUAGAUAUUAGAAGGAACACCAAUAGCGUAGGCAGGUUGCUGGGACGGUUCUGACACUAAGGCACGAAAGCGUAGGGAGCAAACGGGAUUAGAUACCCUUGUAGUC
rnacentral:rRNA from 1 species